GUGGGGAAUAUUGGACAAUGGGCGAAAGCCUGAUCCAGCCAUGCCGCGUGUGUGAAGAAGGUCUUCGGAUUGUAAAGCACUUUAAGUUGGGAGGAAGGGCAGUAAGUUAAUACCUUGCUGUUUUGACGUUACCGACAGAAUAAGCACCGGCUAACUUCGUGCCAGCAGCCGCGGUAAUACGAAGGGUGCAAGCGUUAAUCUGAAUUACUGGGCGUAAAGCGCGCGUAGGUGGUUUUGUAAGUUGGAGGUGAAAUCCCCGGGCUCAACCUGGGAACUGCCUCCAAAACUGCAUGACUAGAGUACGGUAGAGGGUAGUGGAAAUUCCUGUGUAGCGGUGAAAUGCGUAGAUAUAGGAAGGAACACCAGUGGCGAAGGCGACUACCUGGACUGAUACUGACACUGAGGUGCGAAAGCGUGGGGAGCAAACAGGAUUAGAAACCCUUGUAGUCC
rnacentral:rRNA from 1 species